UACAGAGGGGGAAAGCGUUGUUCGGAAUUACUGGGCGUAAAGGGCGCGUAGGCGGCCUGUUAAGUCGAACGUGAAAUCCCCGGGCUCAACCCGGGAACUGCGUCCGAUACUGGCAGGCUUGAAUCCGGGAGAGGGAUGCGGAAUUCCAGGUGUAGCGGUGAAAUGCGUAGAUAUCUGGAGGAACACCGGUGGCGAAGGCGGCAUCCUGGACCGGUAUUGACGCUGAGGCGCGAAAGCCAGGGGAGCAAACGGG
rnacentral:rRNA from 1 species